rnacentral:misc_RNA from 1 species
UCAGAUCCACUUAGUCAACUAUAUAGAGCGUACGGAUUAACCAUUCGCUAAAUAGAUUAGUCUUUUUUCGAACUCAAUUUUUGGGAAUAUUAUAUCUGUUUUCAUCUAAAUUACAACACCAUAUUUAAUAUGGAUUGUUGUAUUUAUUUUGAAUAAAUACGAUAUUUUGUCUUGUUAAAUUGACCAAGUUCAAAUAGUGAAGUUUUCGUUAAGCUAUUAAGAUACAAUACAAAUAAACAUUUAAACAGCAGUCAUGGAGAACUACGAAAGUGCAACUCAGAUAUCAGAAAUUCAAUCAUUUUACAAUGAUACAACAAUAUUUUUAACUGGUGCUACUGGAUUUAUGGGAAAUUUAAUACUGGAUAAAUUAAUAAGGACUUGUUCGGGAGUGAAAAGAAUUUAUAUUCUAAUCAGAGAGAAAAAGGGGAAAACUACAGAAGAAAGAUUUAAAGAACUCUUCGAUGAUCCCGUAUUUGAAUUAAUGAAAAAAGAAAAACCAAACUUUUUAGAAAAGAUUACUGCAGUUAUUGGUGAUUGUCUAUUGCCGAAUUUGGGAAUUGAAGAAAAAUAUAUUAAUAUUUUAAAAGACGAAGUAAACAUAGUUAUACACUCCGCUGCUACUGUACGAUUUGACGAACAAUUAAGAAUAGCUGUCAAUAUUAAUAUAAUUGCCUUACAAGAUAUACUGAAAAUAAGUCAAGAAAUUAAAAACUUGAAAGCUUUCGUUCACAUUUCAACUGCUUAUUCAAACUGUGCAGGAAGAGAAAUUGUGGACGAGGUAUUCUACAAACCACCUAUAUCUGGAGAAAAAUUAGCACAGGUCGUUAAUAAUCUGAACGACGAGUACAUCGCUAGAAUUACACCUUCGUUACUAGGAGAAUGGCCAAAUACAUAUGCGAUGACUAAAGCAAUUGCUGAAGGUGAAAUAGUGACUUAUGGCAAAGGGUUACCAAUUGGAGUUAUUAGACCGUCGAUGAUUAUUGCCACCGACAACGAGCCUGUUUCUGGAUGGAUCAACAAUUUCUAUGGACCAACAGGAGUUGUAGCAGCCACCGGCAUUGGUCUCAUGAGAUGCAUGUAUGCUGAUCCCGAUAAAACAGCCGAUAUCGUACCUGGAGAUUACGUCAGCAACGCCGUGUUAGCUUGUGCUUGGGAUAUUCACAAUCUAUGGAAAGAUAACACAUUUAACGACAUAAUGAAAACUGAUAGUUUAGACAAAGAAACGUUUGUGCCACCUAUUUACAAUUUCGUAUCAUCAAGUGUCAACCCAUUGACAUGGGGAGAAUUUUCAAUGUUGAAUAAAAAAUAUGGAUGUGAAGUGCCUUCUGUAAAAGCGAUUUCGCCAAUUUUGUUGAGAUUAUCUAAACACAAAUACGAAUACCAAAUUUUAUGUUUUAUUCUCCACAUUAUACCCGGAUUUAUAAUUGAUUCCUUAGCCAAACUUACCGGAAGGAAGCCUUUAUUAAUGGAAGGUUAUAGAAAAAUGCAUAAAUUUGCCAAUGUUAUAUCUUACUUCAGUUUAAAAUCAUGGACAUUCAACGAUAAUAACACGAGGACUUUGAUACAAAAGUUAUCCAAACUAGAUCAGACACUUUUCAGAUUCGAUUUAACCAAAUUGAGUUGGGAUGAAUAUUUCAAAAAACACGUAUUAGGUAUUCGAAUGUAUAUUAUAAAAGAUCCAUUGGAAACAUUAUCAGAAGGGAAAAAAAGGAAUCAAAAAUUAUGCAUAGCUUACUACACAUUAUUAUCCGUCUUAGCUGCUACAUUAUUAUUAAUAGUGUAUGGAAUUUUCAAUUUAUUUGUGUAACAAAAUUAGUGCAGUUUCAUGAAUCUCAUUUUCAUAUUGUACAGACAAAUCUUACACAUAUUCAUUAUUCGAUCUUUUACCUAGUUUUUAUAAUUUUACAACAUGAUUACAACUUACAAGAGAUACGCUGUUUAUAAGCAUGUAAACAUAAUACAACCAUUAAAGAUUCCUUAUUCCUAGUACCUAAUUUUGUAAUCGUGUAAGCCCCAAAUUACGUGUAACUCGUAAAUGAU